CUGCAAUAUCCCCACAAGGGCCUGACUGAGCGAGCGAGCAUGGACGGCCGCGGGGCUUUCUGGACAGUGGCCAUUCCCAGAGCCAGGCAGGAAGGCCUCGGGAGGCUGGGGCUCCCGUUCCCGGUGAAGCGGACGCCGCCAGCGCCCCAGAACCCAGGAGGAAGCACACAGGCCCCACAGAGAGUGGUUGGCAAGAGUCACUCGGGGAUUAGGAUGCCGGCCAAAUCGCGGAAUUUGAGGCUGGAAUCCAAGCUCAACAGGACUGCUGUGUGUGAAGCACUCAAGAGGGCCCCUACAACCAACCUGCCAGGAGUCGGCUCCUGAAAACAGGGUCGGAAAAGGGGUCUGGCACUCUUCCUCAUGCUUACGAGAUGGCUGCUGGAAUUCCAGGAAUCACAUGCAAAUUCUAGUCAGGAGCAAAGAGGAAGAGACACAGUGAAAAGGGGUAUACAGCGGCAGAAGGAAGCUCCUCAAAUGAACUCUGCUAGAACUCUAGCCAGUAGCUUCUCCUUCUAUCACAGUGGCCAGAACUGUGACAAGUGACCAUCCUUAGGGGAAAAAAGAUGCUGAGAAAUGUGAAUUUUGUUGCCACCUUACAUUUUCAAAGGAGUUCCAUUCGUAAGUACAGAACGCUCAGAGAAGAGGCAGCAGAUCUAGGAUAUGGAGCAGCAGCUCUUAAGGGCACAGUGGGAAGGUUUCAAGACUGAGGAGGAUCUUGGAUUUGGGUAGGGGAAGGCAGUUCACAGUAUUGUGGAGGAAAUGCUGUGAAAGAGAAAGUGGAAGGCAUGGAAGCUUAAACUUUUAAUAUGACUGGUGAAUACAAGGAUGAAGGGCAAAGGGAAUUCAGACUCAUGGUGGUCAGAUUAAGACCUUCAGCGGCUCUGUCUCCCAGCCCCACAUACCCACUUCCAUGUUCUGCUCUUUACUGAAGCUGAAAGUCUGCAACCUUCAUUCUCUGACUCCCUUACAUUUUCUUAGGCUUCUUGCUAGCUUCUGCCAAAAAGAGGCCCUGGCAGGAGAUUAGAUGGCAGGAGGCAGAGGUAAGGAUUCCAUGUUAACAGGUGCUGGAAGUUGCUGGUGUGGCAAUGAGAACUGGGCCCCGGUCAAGGCAGCACUACUUUGGUAGAUCCAGAAUCAACCAUGAUAACCGUGACAGUGUCUUCAACAGUGCAGCAGUAGACACAGGCCCCUGGUGCUGGAAUCCAAUACAGGGACAGGAGCAGCACGGAGUCACGGAACACCGUCUUGCCUUCAUGUCACUUUACCAUUUCUUCUUUCUCCCUCUUACUCUACCAGCUACCUGUGGAGAUGUUGAACCUUUUAUCUGUCGCUGUCUGCUUAGGAACAGAAGAAAAGGCAGCUGAUUGCUUGACUCAGCUUUCAGCUUGAUUUUUUUCCUUUGGCAGAGUGAAUUGGGGUCCCAGGUGUUCAUUUUCCUUUUGUAGUACCUUUCCUCAGCAUGCAAUUAAUACAAAAAGAACAAUAAACCUUAACAAAGUUUGGCUUGUAUU
rnacentral:lncRNA from 1 species